rnacentral:lncRNA from 1 species
AAGAACCAAAUCUUAAAUGAUAGAACCUUUGAGAGAUCCCUUGUCCCACUGAAUACUUGGGAGUUUUCUAUUAAUUUCAAAAUUUUCAUCCAUGUGGUCUGCAUUUCUACUUUUAGAUUAGAAAAUCAAGUGAUACGCAUUCAAAAACAAAAGUAAAAGUCCUUUGUCCCAGAACAAAGGACCCAGGACAGGGCCAGGAGGAGCCAGGACAAAGAAGGGAAAGUCGUUGAAGAAGCAAACAUUUCAGAAAUGAAGUGAUUUUUCCCAAGGACGUGGAGAUAAUAAUACUUGAAGAACCAAGAUGGGAAUCAAUGCACUAUCAUAUUCUAAUUUAUAUAUUUCAUAUUUAUAUAUGAAUUGAUUCAGUGUUAUGUUUUUAAAUGUUGUAUUUUUUAAAUUUCUGAACUUAGCAAACACUGGAUUAAAAACAAGGGGUUCAUAUAUGAAAUUGUAAAUCCCUAUUAUGUAGAGUUUGUUUUUCUUUGUUUACAUAUAC